rnacentral:rRNA from 1 species
GAAAAGAACUUUGAAAAGAGAGUUAAACAGUACGUGAAAUUGUUGAAAGGGAAACGAUUGAAGCCAGUCGUACUCACGGGUAAUCAACCUCUCUGGCGCGAUUAUGUGGGCGUGUUGGAGUCUAAUCAGCCCUCACGUUCUGAUAUUCGUUCCCCUUGGGUGUACUUGCCUGUGCGGUAGGUUAACAUCAAUUUUGGACGUCAUAAAAUGACGGGAGGAAUGUAGCUUCGGUCUCGUACUGAAGUGUUAUAGACUCUGGUAGAUGUGACGUUUGGGAUUGAGGAUUGCAACGGAUACCUCUCGGGGCUACCUGUCUGGCCUCUGAUGAUUGCUAUGGUGCCGAAAGCUUGCUUACGGUCAUCAAAGUUGAUUGUCAAAAGGUUAGAACGGGUUAAAUUCG